CAAUCUGACUUCCAAAAGGAGGAUUCAAAAAAAAUAUCAUGAACUUUCCCCUGGUGUUCCGGUAUGACCAUAGUUUCCUUUAAUUGUAUAACUUUGAAAUCAGAUAAAAAAGUAUAUAAAAAAAUAACAAUAAGCAUUGAAGGAAUGGAAACAAACAGUUCACGAGAAGAGUGUUUUGUCCCUACCACAAACGAACAAAGAGUAUAAGAGGAGAGAGUCACGGGCACUGAAAGACAACAUCAAUUGAUAUUAUAGUAGUAUAACUAAGAAAGGCCACCUUUAAAUUUGUUAGUUGUGCACAAAUACUAUUCACAUCCAUAAAUUUUAAAUGUGCACCGCUCUCUCAGUGGACUCUCAUCAUUCAUCACUCAUCAC
rnacentral:lncRNA from 1 species